rnacentral:rRNA from 1 species
GUGUAUGGCCAUACCACCCUGAAUAAGCCCGAUCACGUCUGAUCUCAGAAGCUAAGCAGGGUCGGGCCUGGUUAGUACUUGGAUGGGAGAUCACUUGGAUAGGAAGACCAGAUGCUGUAGGUG